rnacentral:rRNA from 1 species
AGUGAACGCUGGCGGUAGGCCUAACACAUGCAAGUCGAACGGCAGCACAGUAAGAGCUUGCUCUUACGGGUGGCGAGUGGCGGACGGGUGAGGAAUACAUCGGAAUCUACUUUUUCGUGGGGGAUAACGUAGGGAAACUUACGCUAAUACCGCAUACGACCUACGGGUGAAAGCAGGGGAUCUUCGGACCUUGCGCGAUUGAAUGAGCCGAUGUCGGAUUAGCUAGUUGGCGGGGUAAAGGCCCACCAAGGCGACGAUCCGUAGCUGGUCUGAGAGGAUGAUCAGCCACACUGGAACUGAGACACGGUCCAGACUCCUACGGGAGGCAGCAGUGGGGAAUAUUAGACAAUGGGCGCAAGCCUGAUCCAGCCAUACCGCGUGGGUGAAGAAGGCCUUCUGGUUGUAAAGCCCUUUUGUUGGGAAAGAAAAGCAGCACGUUAAUACCCCGCUGUUCUGACGGUACCCAAAGAAUAAGCACCGGCUAACUUCGUG